rnacentral:rRNA from 1 species
GAUUGAACGCUGGCGGCAUGCCUUACACAUGCAAGUCGAACGGCAGCACGGGGGCAACCCUGGUGGCGAGUGGCGAACGGGUGAGUAAUACAUCGGAACGUGUCCUGUAGUGGGGGAUAGCCCGGCGAAAGCCGGAUUAAUACCGCAUACGAUCUACGGAGGAAAGCGGGGGAUCUUCGGACCUCGCGCUGCAGGGGCGGCCGAUGGCAGAUUAGCURGUUGGUGGGGUAAAGGCCUACCAAGGCGACGAUCUGUAGCUGGUCUGAGAGGACGACCAGCCACACUGGGACUGAGACACGGCCCAGACUCCUACGGGAGGCAGCAGUGGGGAAUUUUGGACAAUGGGGGCAACCCUGAUCCAGCAAUGCCGCGUGUGUGAAGAAGGCCUUCGGGUUGUAAAGCACUUUUGUCCGGAAAGAAAACUUCGUCCCUAAUAUGGAUGGAGGAUGACGGUACCGGAAGAAUAAGCACCGGCUAACUACGU